rnacentral:rRNA from 1 species
GAUGAACGCUGGCGGCGUGCCUAAUACAUGCAAGUCGAGCGAACGGACGAGAAGCUUGCUUCUCUGAUGUUAGCGGCGGACGGGUGAGUAACACGUGGAUAACCUACCUAUAAGUCUGGGAUAACUUCGGGAAACCGGAGCUAAUACCGGAUAAUAUUUUGAACUGCAUGGUUCAAAAGUGAAAGACGGUCUUGCUGUCACUUAUAGAUGGAUCCGCGCUGCAUUAGCUAGUUGGUAAGGUAACGGCUUACCAAGGCAACGAUGCAUAGCCGACCUGAGAGGGUGAUCGGCCACACUGGAACUGAGACACGGUCCAGACUCCUACGGGAGGCAGCAGUAGGGAAUCUUCCGCAAUGGGCGAAAGCCUGACGGAGCAACGCCGCGUGAGUGAUGAAGGUCUUCGGAUCGUAAAACUCUGUUAUUAGGGAAGAACAUAUGUGUAAGUAACUGUGCACAUCUUGACGGUACCUAAUCAGAAAGCCACGGCUAACUACGUG